GUGGGUGUAGCUCAACUUGGAUAGAGCACUUGACUGUGGCUCAAGUGGUUGUGGGUUCAAAUCCCAUCACCCACC
rnacentral:tRNA from 1 species